rnacentral:tRNA from 1 species
GCCUGGGUGGCUCAGUCGGUUGAGCGUCCGACUUCAGCUCAGGUCACGAUCUCACGGUUUGUGAGUUCGAGCCCCGCAUCGGGCU